rnacentral:rRNA from 1 species
UACGGGGGGAGCAAGCGUUGUUCGGAUUUACUGGGCGUAAAGGGCGCGUAGGCGGCCACCGCAAGUCGACUGUGAAAUCUCCGGGCUUAACCCGGAAAGGUCAGCCGAUACUGCGGGGCUAGAGUGCAGAAGGGGCAACUGGAAUUCUCGGUGUAGCGGUGAAAUGCGCAGAUAUCAGGAAGAACACCAAUGGCGAAGGCAGCUCUCUGGGACGGUACUGACGCUGAGGAGCGAAAGCAUGGGGAGCGAACAGG